GGCGUAAAGCGCAUGCAGGUGGCUCGAUAAGUUGGCUGUGAAAUCUCCUGGCUCAACUGGGAGAGGCCGGUCAAGACUGUCGGGCUAGAAGGCUGUAGAGGGGGGUAGAAUUUC
rnacentral:rRNA from 1 species